rnacentral:lncRNA from 1 species
AGUGUUGGAACCUUCAUUUGUCUCCAUCUCCUUUGAAUGGUAGUGCGAUGGUGGCAAAAGUCCUUGAAAGUCAAGACAUAUAGACCCAUGCUAUUUUCCAUCCUCCGCUCGACCCACAUCUUUCUAGCUAGCCCUACGCUUGUUGCAUAUCUGUGCAUGCAUCUAAACCACAUCCGGUCAAACUUGGUAGGUUGUCUUGAAGCUCAACCAACUAAUCUUCUUAGGUCCCUAGCUCAUUUGGAAUAAGAUGGAAAAGGUGACAACAAUCUAUAAGCUUGCUUUGCUUAAAAAAUGUCAUAUCCAUAUUUGUGCUUGCUUGGCUCGAUUAACAGAUGGAUGGCAUUUCGAUCAACAUUUAGACUCAAGCUCCUUAAUUUUUCCAAAUCGAAGCAGGACGAUAUCUAGAUCGCCUUUGGAUCUAGCAGCACCCUGUCAUAUCUAGGGUCUAUAUGACUAGAGCUUGAGGGAGUCAGGCUAUUGCUGUGCUAAGUUUAGCUAGCACAGCAAUAGCCACGCUAUUGCUGGGAAAGCCACGCUA